rnacentral:rRNA from 1 species
AGUGAACGCUGGCGGUAGGCCUAACACAUGCAAGUCGAACGGCAGCACAGUAAGAGCUUGCUCUUACGGGUGGCGAGUGGCGGACGGGUGAGGAAUACAUCGGAAUCUACUUUUUCGUGGGGGAUAACGUAGGGAAACUUACGCUAAUACCGCAUACGACCUACGGGUGAAAGCAGGGGAUCUUCGGACCUUGCGCGAUUGAAUGAGCCGAUGUCGGAUUAGCUAGUUGGCGGGGUAAAGGCCCACCAAGGCGACGAUCCGUAGCUGGUCUGAGAGGAUGAUCAGCCACACUGGAACUGAGACACGGUCCAGACUCCUACGGGAGGCAGCAGUGGGGAAUAUUGGACAAGGGGGGCAAGCCUGAUCCAGCCAUACCGCGUGGGUGAAGAAGGCCUUCGGGUUGUAAAGCCCUUUUGUUGGGAAAGAAAAGCAGCAGGUUAAUACCCCGCUGUUCUGACGGUACCCAAAGAAUAAGCACCGGCUAACUUCGUG